rnacentral:rRNA from 1 species
UACGAAGGGGGCUAGCGUUGCUCGGAAUCACUGGGCGUAAGGCGCACGUAGGCGGCUUACUAAGUCAGGGGUGAAAUCCUGGAGCUCAACUCCAGAACUGCCUUUGAUACUGAGGGGCUUGAGUCCGGGAGAGGUGAGUGGAACUGCGAGUGUAGAGGUGAAAUUCGUAGAUAUUCGCAAGAACACCAGUGGCGAAGGCGGAUCUCUGGGCCUUACCUGACGCUGAGGCGCGAAAGCUAGGGGAGCGAACAGG